GUCGUGGCUACUUAUGGGCUGCUGGAUGAUUUUAUUACAGCCGUCAUAGAGGUCAUCCCUGAGCUUCUGAGCCGCAGACAGAGGUGUUUAUUGAGCCUCGGUCUUCAGGCUCAGCUGACACUGGAGCUGUGUCGCACUGAGCAGAUGUAAAACCUUGAGAUCAUCCAGCCUCAACUGGAGAAAAUCACCUCACUGUGGAACACAGAGAUAAAUCCUUCAGGAGAUGGACUGUCUGUGUCACACCUCCUCCAUCUUUUUCACAACCUUAUUCAAGACGUCGAGAAGAGACGCCUCUUCUUCCAGGAUAUUUUCUCCGAGAGAUUUGGAGACAAGUACUGUGAAGACUUACAGAUGCUUGUGGAGAUGUUCCUCAUACAGCUUGACAAGUUACUCACAGUACCAGACAUCAAAGAGGUAUAGUUUCAACCUGGUUCAGGUUACUUUAGGUUCAGGUUCAGGUUACUUUACUUGUACAAGUUGGUUAACUUGUUUCGCAGCCAGUUAGAUAUCAGAUCAUGACACACAGAAUAACAAAACAAAUGUAACAUGAACAAACAAUU